rnacentral:rRNA from 1 species
GUCGAGCGGGGAGAUGCCUUCGGGUGUCUUCUAGCGGCGGACGGGUGAGUAACGCGUGAGCAACCUUUCCUUCACAGGGGGAUAACGCAGCGAAAGCUGUGCUAAUACCGCAUGAGACCACAGAGCCGCUUGGUUCAGAGGUCAAAGGAGCAAUCCGGUGAAGGGUGGGCUCGCGUCUGAUUAGCUAGUUGGCGGGGUAACGGCCCACCAAGGCGACGAUCAGUAGCCGACCUGAGAGGGUGAUCGGCCACACUGGGACUGAGACACGGCCCAGACUCCUACGGGAGGCAGCAGUGGGGAAUAUUGGGCAAUGGGGGAAACCCUG